AUCUUACUGUCCAGAACCCUGACCACAAGGCUGAAGACACAGCUUCUGGUGGGUCUAUGGUACUUUCCAGGGUGACUGCAGGGAGAAGUGGGAAGUUGAGCCCCAGAAGGCUAGCCUGAGGGUGACAGGCCCAGCGUGGGCAUGAAAUGCAUCUGCAGAUGACACUCACACAGACACAGUGCUGGGCAAUGAUUCUCUUGGGGGCAGCUUACGAGGAGAGCUUGUAUGAGCUCCCAGAACAGAGCAACCACAACAGUGAUAACGGCACUGCCUUCAGGAAGCUCUGACUGCCAUCAGUGAAGCCCUCACAUGGGUUAUUUCCUGCUCAGCAGUUCCUCAGAGAGGGUUCACAGAAAAUUAAGGAAAGCUAGGGAGGGGUUUCUCAUCCAUCCUGCUUCAUGUCUCUAGCCUCCGUACACUACAUAGCCUACACCACAGAGUUCCAGUUGCUAAGAUGACUCUGCCAGUUGCUAAGAUGACCUGCCGACACACACCGUUACCAUCAAAAUACGAGACUUACAAAGGGGCAGCUUCUGAAAUGGAUGUGCUGUGCAGUCCUAUUGUCUCAGAAACUCAGGAGGCUGAGGCAGGAGGAUCAAAAGUUCAGUACCUGCCUGGGUGAUACUAUGUCUCAGAAAAGCAAAAAUAAACAAAAGAGGAGAUGGUU